GAGAGAAGAGGGUAGGGGUUAAUGGACAAUGGAGGAGGGAGUAAAAGAGGAGGGAAAGUGAGAGAAUGAAGCUCUGGGUCAUCCGUCUAUAGAAAGAGAUUAGAGAGAGAGGGGCGUGGUUGGCUUUGUAGAGAGAAAGAGUUCAGUAAUAAACGAAUUGAAAAGACUCAACAAUUAUUUUUAAAACUCGAAAACCAAACAAGAGGUAAAAAUUAGAAAAAGCACCAGCGAAGGCUAUCCAAGUCGAAGAGACGAUUGUUGGUUGCUCAUUGCUCUCUCUCAUAUCUACGAUUGAGUGACUGUUUCAGUGCACUUUCUGCUCUAUUUCUCUCAAUUGGGGACAUUGAUAAACAUCACCAGCUUCCAGCUCACGUAGUAUGGGUGUGCUAAAGAAUGGCACCAUGCGCUAAAGAAGGGUGGUGGGGGCAACACCAACUCACUAAAGGAAGAUAGUGAGGGUGACACCACCUUGGUCAAUUAUGAAUGCCACUUCACAUACUCCUCUUCUUUUGGUUAUAAAUUGAGAUGAGUGAGAAGGGGUUGAAGACACAUAUGGGAGUGAUAGAGGGUAUAAUCUGUGAGUGAGAGUGUUAUGGAGAGUUGUGAGGUGUGAGUACCAUAAUCUCCCUUCGGAAUAAUUCUAUAAUGGAUAUCUCUCCCGUGAUGUAGCUAAUUGCCAAAUCACGUAAAUCUCGUGUUUUUGUGUGUGAUUGAUUUCUGGUGUCCAUAGUCCCAACACGUUUUGAAUAUUCUGUUUGAUUUCCUUUCUUA